rnacentral:misc_RNA from 1 species
UGGUCUGAACCAUAACUUGCCCCCAAAUCCAAUUCCAUCUGGUGCAAUGCUUACUAAUCUUCAUCAUUGUUCAGUUGCAUCACCAUUUAUACCUGUUUCUGUGACUCCACUGUCGCAAAUACAAGGCACCUCCAUGCCACCAUUUGAUCAUAUGUAUGCUGUGCCUGUUGUUCGACCACCAGUGACGUCUUUACCACCACAACCACCACCUCAGCUUGACUCAUUACCCCCGUUACCUCCACCUGUCUUGCAGCCUCCGUUACCUUCAUCCCCACCCCCACCACCUUACCCUGACCCACCUAAUAUUCCUCCUCCACCUAGUUCCCCACCUCCUCCUCCCCCGCCUCCAUUAUCUGAACCUUCAAGUUCAGGAAGUUCUAGACAAUAUUUGCAAUGUCGUUGGCAGGGCUCCUUGAGUAAAAGUGGAGUUCAUUACUGCACGAUUUAUGCCCAAAGAGUAGAGUCAGAUAUUUGCAGGUAUCCAAAUGCCAGUGCUGAGCCAACAGAAUGGCCUGUGAAGUUGGAUAUGACCAAACGUACUGAUUUUCGGCAUGUCAAAUCAACAUUUUGUAGUACACCACCCCACAAAAAGGAGAUAUGCUGGUUACUACCUUCUUCUCCAAUGGACCAUAAGGGCUUUCAAGAUUUUGUAUCAUACUUGAAGCAGAGGGAAUGUGCUGGUGUAAUUAAA